GUUUUGUUUAGAGAGCAAUCUUGAUUGGGAUGAAGGAGUAAAGUUUUUGUUGUUUGCUAUACGUGAGUCCCCCCAGGAAUCCCUAGGUGUUUCUCCUUUUGAAAUGGUAUAUGGGAGAUUAUUAAGAGGACCCUUGCAUUAAUUAAAGAUGAAUGGUUAAAGCCCCCAGACUCUCAUCAGACUGUAACUGUUCAACAAUAUUUGAGUAACUUUAAGGAAACCCUUUCCAAAGUCCGUAAAAUAGCCAGUGAAAACUUAAGCAAAGCUCAGAUUAAAAUGAAAAAUAAUUAUGAUCAAAAAACUAAAAUUAGGAAAUUCAACCCAGGAGAUCUUGUGUUAGCAUACUUUCCUAUCCCUGGAUCCCCAUUUUCCUCCAAAUUCUUUGGUCCAUAUAAAGUAGUUAAAAAUGUCAAUAACCAUACCUAUGUGAUAGAAACCCCUGAUAGAAGGAAAAGUACUCAAAUUAUCCAUGCCAAUUUGCUUAAAAGGUAUCAUUCCAGGAAUACUGAAACUGGUUAGGGAGACAAAAUUGUUAAUGUUAAGGUCAAGGACGAGAAACCUGAAAACUUCAAAACCUUAUUUGCUCUUACCCAGAACUUUAUGGAGAAAAUCCAGGUCAGUGUACAGUUCUCACCCAUGACAUCGAACUUCUACCAGGAACUGCUCCCAUACGACAACACCCUUAUCGCAUCAGCCCGGCCAAGAAAUUAGUAAUGAAAGAAGAAGUGUAAUAUCUUCUGAGAACUGGAUUAGCUAAACCAAGCAAGUCACCAUGGGCGUCUCCCUGUCUAUUGGUACCAAAGGAGGAUGGCAGCAUGCGACUGUGUACAGAUUACAGGAGAGUAAAUUCUGCUACUGUUAAGGAUAGUUACCCUUUACCCCGUCUAGAUGACAUUAUAGACUCUGUGGGCCAAGCAAAGUAUGUAGCUAAAAUAGAUCUCCUCAAGGGGUAUUAUCAGGUGAAGUUAAUAUCUAGAGCCAAGCUUAUUUCGGCUUUCAUAACUCCUUUUGGGUUAUUCCAGUAUGAAGUAAUGCCUUUUGGUUUAACAAAUGCCCCAUCCACAUUUCAACGCAUAAUUAACUACACCAUUCAGGGUCUAGAGGGAGUAUUUGCAUAUCUAGAUGAUAUAUUGGUGAUAGGAGAUUCUUGGAAGGAGCUGAUGACAAGUUUGAAUAUGCUCUUUGAUAGAUUAAGAGAAGCCCAGUUAACAAUAAAUUUAAAAAAGUGUUUUUGGACAAGCUACAGUUACUUACUUGGGACAUAUUGUAGGUGGAAGUAAUGUCAGGCCUAAAACUGCAAAUGUUAAUGCCAUUCUUGACUAUCCAGAACCUAAGACUAGGAAAUCCCUUAAAAGAUUUCUGGGUAUGGUUUCAUAUUACAGGAAGUUCUGCCGUAAUUUUGCUUCAGUAGCUGCCCCUUUACAUAGUCUUACCAGCCCUAAAAAGAAGUAUGAAUGGGAUGAGAAAUGUCAGGCAGCAUUUGAACAUUUAAAAUAUUUUUUGAGUAGUGAGCCAGUCUUACACAGUCCUAAUUUUUCUAAACCCUUCUCUUUGCAAGUAGACGCUUGCGACACUGGUGCUGGAGGAGUGCUGUUGCAGGAAAUUGAUGGGGUACUCCACCCAAUAGGAUACACCUCCAGUAGUUUCAAGCUUCAUCAGUUGUCCUACAGUACCAUAGAGAAGGAGCUCUUAAGUUUGGUUCUUGCUCUCCAAAAGUUUGAAUGUUAUCUACAAGGAGCUCCUGUCAUCCAUGUCUAUACGGACCACAACCCCCUCACCUUUCUUGAGCACACCAAGGCCCAUAAUCAGCGAUUACUAAGAUGGGCUUUAUAUCUUCAAAACUUCAACCUUCAAAUAAAGCACCUCAAGGGCAGCGACAACGUAUUUGCUGAUGCCUUGUCACGGGCCCAUUCUCAACCUUCUCAGGAGAAGGAAGGUGUUUAACUUUGAUCAAGCCACUCCGCUGGGCUUGAUCCUCUAUGGGGAGGUAUUACACCUUCCACAUAAUUAUAAUUAUUGUAUAUAUUUUGCCUGACUGUUUUCCCCUGUAUACCACUUUCCUUUGUCCUUUCCAAGAAACUUGUUGGUCUUGUUUCACACUCCUUGUUCUUACUUGCUCCGCCCAUCCUACCUUUCUUCGACCCCUAAAUGUAAUUUUGAAUCAGUCUCCACUCAGCAACUAAACCAAGGACUCUGGUGUCCGGCAGGGAAGCAGUCCACUUUAUUGUGAUGUAUCUAUAAGCUAAGUAUAAGUGAUAUUGUUGUAAGGGUUUAAUAACGAAUUGUGCUUUGUUUCAAGUGUUCUUAAUUUCAAGUACGAUUACUUUUCGAGACGUGGUUGUCACUUGUCAUUUGUUAUUUAUUUUGUCCUAUUGUUUUGUAAAUACUUUUUGCAUUAUUAUAUUUAAAUCUUGUUU